rnacentral:rRNA from 1 species
AUUGAACGCUGGCGGCAUGCCUUACACAUGCAAGUCGAACGGUAACAGGUCUUCGGAUGCUGACGAGUGGCGAACGGGUGCGUAAUACAUCGGAACGUGCCCGAUCGUGGGGGAUAACGAGGCGAAAGCUUUGCUAAUACCGCAUACGAUCUACGGCUGAAAGCGGGGGAUCUUCGGACCUCGUGCGGACGGAGCGGCCGAUGGCAGAUUAGGUAGUUGGUGGGAUAAAAGCUUACCAAGCCGACGAUCUGUAGCUGGUCUGAGAGGAUGAUCAGCCACACUGGGACUGAGACACGGCCCAGACUCCUACGGGAGGCAGCAGUGGGGAAUAUUGGACAAUGGGCGAAAGCCUGAUCCAGCCAUGCCGCGUGCAGGAUGAAGGCCUUCGGGUUGUAAACUGCUUUUGUACGGAACGAAAAGCCGCUGUCUAAUAAAGAGGUGUCAUGACGGUACCGUAAGAAUAAGCACCGGCUAACUACGUG